rnacentral:rRNA from 1 species
ACGGAGGAUGCAAGCGUUAUCCGGAUUCAUUGGGUUUAAAGGGUGCGCAGGCGGAAUGAUAAGUCAGUGGUGAAAUCUCCCGGCUCAACCGGGAAACUGCCAUUGAUACUGCCAUUCUUGAGUACAGUUGAAGUGGGCGGAAUGUGUCAUGUAGCGGUGAAAUGCUUAGAUAUGACACAGAACACCGAUAGCGAAGGCAGCUCACUAAGCUGUAACUGACGCUCAUGCACGAAAGCGUGGGGAUCAAACAGGAUUAGAUACCCUGGUAGUCCACGCUGUAAACGAUGAUCACUCGUUGUUGGCGAUACACUGUCAGCGACUGAGCGAAAGCAUUAAGUGAUCCACCUGGGGAGUACGGCGGCAACGUUG